rnacentral:tmRNA from 10 species
UGGGCUGAUUCUGGAUUCGACGGGAUUCGCGAAACCCAAGGUGCAUGCCGAGGUGCGGUGGCCUCGUAAAAAACCGCAAAAAAAAUAGUUGCAAACGACGAAAACUACGCACUAGCAGCUUAAUAACCUGCUUAGAGCCCUCUCUCCCUAGCCUCCGCUCUUAGGACGGGGAUCAAGAGAGGUCAAACCUAAAAGAGCUCGUGUGGAAACCUUGCCUGGGGUGGAAGCAUUAAAACUAAUCAGGAUAGUUUGUCAGUAGCGUGUCCAUCCGCAGCUGGCCGGCGAAUGUAAUGAUUGGACUAAGCAUGUAGUGCCGACGGUGUAGUAAUUUCGGACGGGGGUUCAAAUCCCCCCAGCUCCACCA